rnacentral:lncRNA from 1 species
CCUGCCUCAGCCUCCUGAUAGCUGGGACUACAGGUGCCCGCCACCACGCCCGGCUAAUUUUUUUGUAUUUUUAGUAGAGACGGGGUUUCGCCAUGUUAGCCAGGAUGGUCUCAAUCUGACCUCGUGAUCCGCCCACCUCGGCCUCCCAAAGUGGUGGGAUUACAGGUGUGAGCCACCUCCCCGGCUGGUGCUACACACUUUUAAAUGACCGGAUCUGUGAACUCAGAGCAAGAGCUCUCCUAUCACCAAAGGAAUGGCUCAAGCCAUUCAUGAAGAUCUGCCCCCACGAUCCAAACACUUCCCACUAGGCCCCAUCUCCAGCACUGAGGAUUCCAUCUCAACAUGACAUCUGAGUGAAAAAAAUUAAUCUAUAGAGAGGAUAAUCACACAAGGUUAUACAAGUGGUUCAUAGAAGUGGAAAUUAUGGAACUGUGGAUGUGACAGAGCCAUUGCUGAAAAAUAUGUUUGUUGGCAGGAUAUUACAUUCUGCUGGCCUAAAUGUCUUAGUUCCAGAAGAAGGACCGCUGCCACCAGGAGACACAACGAUUCCAUUAAACUGCAAGUUAAGAAUGCCAUCUGACCACUUUGGGCUCCUCCUACCUCUCACCAACAAGCUAAGAAGGGAGUUACAGUGUUGGCUGGAGUGAUUGACCCGGACUACCAAGUCUACUACUCCGCAAUGGAAGUAAGGAAGAGUAUGCGUGGAAUACAGGAGAUCCCUUAGGACAUCUCUUAAUAUUACCAUGCCCUGUGAUUAAGGUCAAUGGGAAACUAUAACAACCCAAUCCAGGCAGGUCUACAAAUGGCCCAGACCCUUCUGAAAUGAAGGGUUAGGUCACUCCAUCAGGUAAAAAAUCAUGACCUGCUGAGGUGCUUGCUGAAGGCAAAGGGAAUACAGAAUGGGUGGUAGAAGAAGGUAGUCAUCAAUACCAGCUGCAACCACAUGACCAGCUGCAGAAACGAGGACUAUAAUUGUCAUAAGCAUUUUCUCUUUAUUUUGUUAAGAACAUGUUUGGGGAUGUAUACAUUUGUACUAAGAUAAUAUCUUUAUUUUAUUUCCUUUAUUUUUCCUUUAUCAUGUGACAUAAGAUUUAUUGAUUUCAUAUCAACAUUUAAGUGUUGUUAACUUUAUGUAAUAGCAUUUAGGUUAAGGAUUAGUGUGCUUCCGAUUGUACGAAAGAUAGCUGUAUUAUGUUAGGUGUAAUGAUGACCUUACUAUUGUCUUUAUUUGAAGAUUAUAUAUGAUUUCAGGAGCUGUGUAUGGGUACAAGUUGACAAGGGGUUCAAGUUGACUUGGAAUGGUUAAUAUUGAGUGCUAAGUUGAUUGGAUUGAAGGAUGCAAAGUAUUGUUCCUGGGUGUGUCUGUGAGAGUGUUGCCAAAGGAGAUUAACAUUUGAGUCAGUGGACUGGGAGAGGCAGACCCACUCUUAAUCUGGGUGGGCACCAUCUAAUCAGCUGCCAGAGUGGCUAGAAUAAUGUAGGCAGAAGAAAGUGGAAUGGGGAAACUCGUUGAGUCUUCUGGCCUUCAUCUCUCUCCUGUGCUGAGUGCUUCCUGCCCUGGAACAUCAGACUCCAAGUUCUUCAGCUUUUGGACUCUUAGACUUACUGUGGUUUGCCAGGGGCUCCCAUGCCAUCGACCACAGACUGAAGGCUCCACUGUUGGCUUUCCCACUUUUGAGGUUUUGGAAACCAGACUGGCUUCCUUCCUCCUCAGCUUGCAGAUGGCCUGUUGUUGGACUUCACCUUGUGAUAGUCAAUACUCCUUAAUAAACUCCCUUUCCUAUGUAUAUCUAUCCUAUUAGUCCUGUCCCUCUAGAGAACCAUGACUAAUACAGUGUCAAAAGUGAAAAGUUGUUAAUCUCUGACAAAAUCAUGCCCUACAGUAGAAGUAGAUACAGAUCUAACAAAGACUACUGGUAUAAAAUUUUACAUAUUUUCUCAGGAGUGACAUUGACACCGUAUCUCAUUCCUAAAGCAUCAUAAUUGCUCUGAAUAUCAGAGUUUGACACAUUCAUGAUUUUUUUCUGUAAGAAAAAGUGAACAGAGGCUUACUGUAGAUUCACUAUGCUUAACAAAAGAGCUUUGAGAGAAUGGUGUAUAAGAAAUAAAAAUGAAAAGUACAGAAGUCUUUACCAAAAUAUGUCACUGUUUUCAAUACCAAGACAGUAAGAAAAGGAUGGUAAGCACAGUUAGGAGUGCUGCAAUGAGUUCAUCAAUUGUUCCUUGUAUAAAAUCAAAAUUAUACUUUUUCACAUAUGUGCCUUGAGUACCUCAAAAAAAGGAUGCUAGGUGUCUCCGUCUUUCUAGGUACUUGUUAAUUUUUUACCUGAGAGUAGAAGAUAUACAUUGAAUUUUUAUUUAACUGGCUUUUUAAAAGGUUUAAUUACCUACCCUUAACAUUUGGGUUCAUCUAACGGUGUUGUUAUUUUGGAUUAUUUAAUAUUACUUGUUGAGGGUAGCAAUUCUUGGCCAGUUAAGAAGUAUCCCUGGGCUUGUCCAUGUAAAGUUUGUUAGUUAAUUGCCAA